rnacentral:rRNA from 1 species
GACGAACGCUGGCGGCGUGCUUAACACAUGCAAGUCGUACGGUAAGGCCCUUUCGGGGGUACACGAGUGGCGAACGGGUGAGUAACACGUGAGUAACCUGCCCACAACUUUGGGAUAACGCUAGGAAACUGGUGCUAAUACUGGAUAUGUGCUCCUGCUGCAUGGUGGGGGUUGGAAAGCUCCGGCGGUUGUGGAUGGACUCGCGGCCUAUCAGCUUGUUGGUGGGGUAGUGGCCUACCAAGGCGGCGACGGGUAGCCGGCCUGAGAGGGUGACCGGCCACAUUGGGACUGAGAUACGGCCCAGACGCCUACGGGAGGCAGCAGGGGGGAAUAUUGCACAAUGGGCGCAAGCCUGAUGCAGCAACGCCGCGUGCGGGAGAACGGCCUUCGGGUUGUAAACCGCUUUCAGCAGGGACGAAGCUUUUUGUGACGGUACCUGCAGAAGAAGCACCGGCUAACUACGUG